GAAGCAUCACAAUGGACAACCAGGUGAUGGACAGGAUCUGCCUGGGCUGGAAGCAGCUACACAAAGAUUUGGGACUGAAGUCCUGUUUCUGCUCAUUUAAUAUGCCAGUUGGAGUAUUAACAUAGGAAAGGAACACCCACCUUGCCCCCUUGUCUUCCCACACCCAUACAACAUCACAGGACACACUUUUCCAUCAUGCAAAAUUCUCAAAGUUCUCUCCAGUCCUAAAAUGAGGCAUCUCAGCUGGACAGAAGAUAACAAGAUUGUCUUACUUCGGUGGACACUUAUCAUUUGAGGGAAAUGAUUUCAGCAUUUCACACCCUUAAGCUCUGCAGUGGAAAUGUCAUGCAGCAGCAGCUCCUCUUCCCUGUCACUUCCUCCCUGGUCCUCCAACAGCACUACUUGUCAGAUUGUGACUUAAGCAAUACAAGGAGCUGUGUUAGCAGGAACAGAGACUCUUUCCAAUCAAUGAACCAAACAAAAUGCUUUGCCUGCACAUGGCUGUAAGUUGCAAUUGCAUAUUUUCUUUUAACCUUUUUAGCUUGAUGCCACGAAGCCCCAAAAUGUUUCUUUUCCUCUUGAAUAAGAAUCCAGUAUCGUGCUAUCAGUAGCAUAUUCUGGAAUGUAUGCCUCCCAAAAUGUGACACAACUACAGAGCAGAAUUCCAAUUAAAAUAUG